ensembl:lncRNA
GUCUUCCCAGUCAAAAAAAAAUUUAAAAAGCAGAGCCUAGAAAAUCCCUUUAGCUUUGGUGAGUACAAAGGACCUAAGAGAGGAGUGAUUUCCUCCAAGGCCUCACUCCGGAGGAACCUGCUCCUCCAUCCCCCCCUCCCCGCCCAGAGUUUUAGUUUUACUGCCUUUCUUACUUCCAAAAUAGUUUAAAAUCCUCAUAAACAUCAAGAGAAGUUUGAGACACAUUCUGGUGAGUUAUUUUUCUGCGAUAUCAAUUUUUUUUUUUUUUUUUGUACCAGCGAUCAAACUUAGGACCUUGCACUUGCAAGGCAGGCAUGGAGCCACUGAACUAAAUUCCUGGCCUUGCCAUAUCAAUUUUGAAAUGUCCUUUUUUCUGUCAUCUUAAGUGUUGUAUUUUCUGCUUCAUCAUGUUUUGAGUAUGGCCUCUGUGAGCUAAUUGUUUGGAUCGGCUUUGGCAUAGGGAAAAUACUUCCUUGAAUUUGCUCCCUACUGAUCACCUCUUCUCAUCUGCCUUGUUCUCAUAGCUUCCUGACUCUCAGAGCCUAUAACUAGUCUCUCUAACUGCAGUGCAUUCACGUGUGCCUGCUGCUAUGGGAGUAAUCCCAUAAAGGUCCUUGGUCAAGUCACCCCUCUUCAUAGAAACUUUCAGUCAUUUUGCUUACUGAAUAGACAUCAGGUUCACUGGUGUUCCAGGUCUGCUUCCGUCUUCUUCCGUCUUCUUUCCUAGCCAGUCUUCGGUGAUGGUGAUAUUCUGGCUGCCGUUGACCUGUUGACCUUCAUGUCUCCUUUCCCUCUCUGCCAAGUUCCUUCUUCAUUGCAUCUGAGGUCUCAUCCUCCAGACCAGCCUGCAUGUGCCCACUGAUGGAAUUCCACCUUCCUCUCAGUCUCUCUAGCAUCAAAGCACAGCCUCUCAGAGGGCAGUAGCUCCAACUCUGGUAUCUGUCUCUCAGAGCAGCCUUGCCUGCAGGAGGGAAGGCACAGGAUUUGAAUGAGUGUGUGGAAUGAAUCCUCAAGUUCCUGUGAUUGGGAAGCAGAAGAGCGAGGACCUCUAACUCAUUGCUCUCUCAGUUGCACUGUAUAUCCCAGGUGCUGGGAAAAGCUCCCAUGGGAUGGGAAUCACCUCUAGGAAAAGGGUGAGGAUAGCACAGUGCACAGACAUUUAAAAUGGAAUCAAAGACAAUAGCAAAACUUGCUGUGGGGAAUUAUCCUAAUACAAAGAUCAACUUCGAUGGCUUUUUAACUUUUAAUCUCAUAUAGUUGUAGAGUAAAGGGAGUGUUAAGUCCCUUUGGGAUUGUGACUGUUCAUUAGAUCUUUUUAUACACAGACUUUUUUUUCCUUUUUAAACGGGGACUUGUUGGAGGCUCCAGGGAUAUUUUGUGUGUGGUCAACACUUCUUGUGUGCCUAGUUGCUUAGGUCACUGUGUGGUACAGUGAAAACCCAAUCUGUCUUUGGGUUGGCUCCACACUCACUUUUCUUACAUUCUCUUACACUUCUCUCCUUGUACCAAAUUGUACUUCACUGGCCUCUCUGACAGCAGUAGCAGAAAUGCAUUGUCCUGCUUGUAGCAAUUAGAUGUUUCUUACCUGGUCCAGGACAUGGCAUACACGAGGAAGUGGCCAUACAUGUACCGGGUGUGUGUUACUUUACGUGACCCCGGCCGAGGCAGAGGGACAAAACAAGUGCAUCAUGUUGGAGACUGGCAGCUGUCCUGCAAGAUCCAGGCUUCUUCUGUUUCGCUCUGCUGUCAAAGGUGAGAGCAGUAAUGUGUGCUGUUCCUAGGUUUGAGCCUUGGAGUCUCGACUGUGUGCUUUUCUCGUCCCCGGAUGGGAAGUUAAAUGUCCCCCCCAUGUCGCCCCUACCGCCCAGCGAGCCCACUGGCCUAGAGCAGGGACAGGCACACUUUUUGUGAAGGACCAAAUAGGAAAUAUUUUCAGCUUUGUGACCAUGUAGUCCCUGCAUAGUUGUGUGAAAACCGCUAAAGAUGAUGCAGACACAGAUGAGUACGCUUGCAUUUUAAUAAAAUGUUAUUUGCAAAAAUAGGCUGGAUUUCACCCUGGGGCCUGCAACUUUCCAGCCUCUCCCAACAGUGCAGAGGCUCCAGAGGGAAAUAGGGGCCCAUGUUACUUCUUAGGGCAGAGCUGCCCCCAGUCCAGCGCUCACCUCAAGACUGAGAGAGAGAGAAAGGCUUCUCCUGAGUGCGCUGCGGUGUUCAAGACCCUUUGGGCAGCCUGACCUUUCCCCUCACCACUGCAUGCCUGCGGGCACUGUUACCCACUCACGCUCAGCUUCACACGUGGGAGCAAGAAGCAUUUGUUGGGCUCCAGCCAUUUGGGACUGACUCUGUGCUGAGUCUUCCCACCAGAAGGCUCUAAGUGAGUCCUUCCCUUUUAUCUAAUGAAGAGAGAUUAUUUUUCUCAGUAGACAUCUCUAUCUGACCAGUGUCUUACACUUGCCUGAAACUGGCACAGGUACCCCAGUAUUUUUGCACAUCCCCUGCACUGCCUUAGGAACAGAGUAGCAUCUAGAUAGAACACGUGAAGGAAAUAAAAUUUGGGGGUUCUUUGGGGUGGAUUUUUGUCUCUCUAUCCAAAGUCCUUUCCCCCUUUUCAGCUAUAGCUUCUGUGUCCUAGUCUUGGAACUGCUCUUAGUUGUAGAUUAAAGUGAUAUCUCAGAAAACUUUAUGUCCUUUCCCCCAUUAUUUGCUUUGUUUUGCUUUUCUAAUAAUUAAUUACAAAAAUUACAUUUACAAAAGCUUUGGAUAAUACAGGAAAUCUAAAAAGUUAUGGAUGCUACAGCUCCCAAAUACAAUCAUACCUUCUACUCCUGGUGGAUUUUGUAUUUAGUUUUGCUUGUAUUUGAACACAAGUUAAGGAAAUUCUUCCAAAUCCAAACAACUGAGAUUCAGGAACUGGUUAAUAAUAGCCAGUUUGGCCAUUUAUUUCUUCCUGAAGAUCAAGGGGGGAUUGAUGGAAGAAGUAAUAUUUUAGCUUUGUCUUAAAGUUUUAAAGGCAUUUUGAAACAUAGAGAAUAAAGAAAAACAUGCUAUUUAAAAAACAUGGAGCCGCUAAAUGUACAUGUAUAUGAAUAAUUUAACAGUUGACUGUGGUCUUGACAACCUAUUAAGCUGUGCUCUCAUUUCCUUUAUUAUGCAUCAGGGAUAGUUAUAUUUGUCUUUUACCCUUCCAGAAAAUGGAAUAUAUUAAGAUAAUCCAUUUUCAAGUACUCUGAACUCUUCAGAGGAAAGGCACUGAAAGUCUGCAACAUAAUUGAUGGAUCAGAUUUUCUGUCAUUCUUACUAUUUAUUAUUAUUUUAUUUGCUACAAUAAGACAUAAUAAUGCUUAUAGCCCUUUCCAUGAAUGGUCUACAAAGGAAAAAGUGUCACAUAUUUAAUUAAUACUUGUUUUAUUAUCUAACUUUUAUUUUCAAAGAAAAGCUAUUGGAAAACCAUACUUAUUCUAGGUUAAAUGCUAAUAACACUAAUUUAAUUCUUCUUAGAUGUUUUGUUGCGUGUUUUUACUGUGAUGUUUAUGCUUCUCAAUGACAUAUAAAGUUAAUAUUAACUUCAAUCAUUAUGGAUUUGACCAUCUCAAAAUCAGGCGAGAUAAUAUUCAAGUACUACUGUCUAAUGACAUUAAAACAAGACACCACUGUGUUCACAAAAUAAACAUUUCAGUUGCAGACAUUUGCAAAUGAUUCAGUGUCUGAUAAGAUAAUAGCCACAUUUCAUAUAUUUCUGCUUUUCAGGCAAAAAAAAAAAAAGGCAUCUAAAAAGCAGUGGAACAAAGAUCAAGCAUUCCUAAGUAAUCUGCUUCAAUACCCACAUGGUAACUUCAGAUUUCUACUUACUCUAAUGUUGGAUACCUUGUGCUUUAUGUUGUGAGUUUAUAACCUCUUGUUAGGUCCCAUAUCAAUAAAAUUGUACAGGAUUACAUUCAAAGUUCAGAUUAUAUUUUAGUGUUAACAUAGACAAAAUUAAAAUCUACCUAAGUCGAUCUAACCAGGAGUGAUUUCACUGUCAUUUUGCAAGUUGAAUAUUAUUGUUUUGCUUGUCAAAAAGUUAUUUUUUAAAAAAUAACUAACUAUAAUUCAGGUAUGACAGGUGGAAGAAAUAAACUCAAGUGAACAAGAAACAUCCCAGUUCUUACUGCCUUUAAAUCAAAUUAAAUAGACACCAGGUUCACCUUACCUGGCUGCCAAGAAACCCAAUUUUUGUUUGGGUUGCUGAUUCUUUCAGGAUCAUAGCAAUGUUCAGAAAAUUACAUGGUUCAGGACCAGGAAAAAGGCCUCUAGUGCUGGGUCAUUAUGGUCCUAUCUGACACAUAAACUACAAGUUGGUCCCUUAUCAUGGUGCAUGGUUCUUGCUCCAUAGCAUGGAGCCUUGGGGCCUGUUCCUAGGCUGAGGCUGCCGCCAUCUGGGGUCUGUCCUUGCUAGUGCACCAGGGAGCCAUUCCUCUGAGCUCUGGCCACACCCUUGCCAGAACACUGUGCACAGUGGUGCCCUUCAUGCUCUGCCAAAAUGCUUGAUGGUGAGGAGAGAGGGCUCAGGGCUAAGCUGUACCUCGAUGGCCAGGUGCAGCGCUCUGGCCUGGGGCCCAUUCAUUUCCCCUGGACAAAGCACUGUCUAAUUUAGUACACACAUACUGGUUACAAUUGCCUUUUGUGACUUUUUAGCUGGUACAAAGGCUCUGUACACAGAUUGUCCAUCCAGCCACCUUCUGAUAAAGCUCCAGGACACCACAUAAGCAGAUGCCACUCUAAGCCCUCAGAGGCCUUGUCCUGUUCCUGCAAUGAGGAGGGACUGUCUUCUCUCAGAUUCCCUGCUUCUCAAAGGCAAGGUUCUCCUCCUGGCCUCCUCCAGGACUCACAGGGAAAGGCCCCUCUGAAGACUUGAGAUUUAUCAAAGUGUAGUGUGCAAAGCCUUGGGCUCCAUAUUGUUUUGCUCACUGCCUGGCCAAACCACCCACAGACAGGAAUUAUCAGGGCCUCGGGUUGGAAUGGAAGAUAGGUGGAAAGUAGCAUAUCGAAAUCCCCCCACAAUGCGGGGAUUAAUAAGAAGAACCCAAUUAUAGUGUUAGGAUUUGCCCUUCCUUUACCCCUAAGGCAGACCAUUACCUUGGACUUGAGUACUUUUCAGAAUGUGGAGUGAGAGGAAGAGAGUUCCAAAGGCAGCAGUUGGACACAAAGCAUCAGAAAGGGGAAUAGAAGGAGGAGAUGAGCCCCAGCACAGAAGAGAGAGAAGAGAGAAGGGGUAGAGCUUGGGCAGUUGACAUAGCACUGGGAUGUUAGAUAGAGCUGAUUAAGUAUCUGCCAAGAAGCCCAGCAUGGUGUCACAUGCCUGUAAUCCCAGCAUGGUGGGAGGCUGGAGCAGGAAAAUUGCAAGUUCAAGCCUGGGCAACUUAGUGAUUUAGUGAGACCCUGUCUCAGAGUAAAGAGAUAGCAAGGGCUGGGGAUGUAGCUCAGUGCAAAGGCCCUGGGGUCAACCUCCAGUACUGCAAAAAAAAAAAAAGGUAUGCUUAUCAUGUCCUGCUUUGUAUGCAGUUUUGGAAUGUCACCACCUUGUAAGAAACUUCCAGGGGAGACCUACCUGGACUUUCCAGGAUUUGUUUUGGGUGAGAUUUUAUUUUUAGGCUGUUCAUUGUGCAAGCCUAUCUUUCUGGUGGCCCAGUGUGCUGAGACACAUGGUUAUCCUGGACCAGCACCAGAGAGUAUGCUGAGAUGCGCAGGCUUUGUGGCACAGGGUAAGGAGUAAGCUGAUUCAUAUUUAGGCGAGUGGCUAAGAAUUUGAAAACAGGAAAAUGGCAAGCUUUGCUUAGGAUGUGGAGGAAGUGGAUGCACAUUGACUGAUACAGGGUGCAAGUUGGCAUCACCACUUGGGGAAACUAUUUGGUAGUAGCUACUACAGCAGAGAACAGGUAUAGCUGUGGCCCAGGAACUGACCCCCAGGAGGAUGCUCAAGCAGAGUGUGCAUGUGUGCACCAAGAGACAUAAACUGCAACAGCUUCAGACUGCCCAACAAGUAAACUGUAGCAUAUCCAGGAAUGGGAUUCCACAGGGCAUUACCAUGAACCAUCUGCAGUUACAUGGCAAUAGAGCCGGUGCUCACGGAGGGUUGCACUUGUUCUCUAGGAUCCCCCGUACAUAGGGUGCAGAUGCAGCCAGAGCACAGAGGUGGAUUAGAGUUGGGGAUGGUGGUUAUUCUUGUGGGGGGAUUGGUGAGAGGAGGUUUAAGGGGAAUUUCUGAAGCACUGAUGGUGUUUUCUUUCCUUAUCUGGAUGAUCUUUGCAUGAGUGUGUUUGGUUAGUGACAAUACAGGAAGCUGUAGAGUUAUCUCUUCUUGCAUGUAUAGCACACAUCAAUAAAAAAGUUAAACCUAAAAAAUGUGUUUAAAUUGUUGCCACUGCCUUUCUUUAUGAAAAUACUGAGUACUAUUGGAAUUGAAUACUAAAUUAUUGUGGGUGAAUCAAACAUUGUUACUAAGAACUGAAGAAUACCUGGAAAUGGAAUUAUCUGUCUAUAAGGAUAUUGGCAUCAGGGGCCACCUGACAGUUUUGUUUCUCCCACAGUAAAGCCAAGAUUAAAAGCAAAGAGAGGUCAUGUUAUAAGUAAUAAGGACGGUGCCUGGUGCCCGGUAGUGCUCAGUGUGGAGUUGUCUUCAAUUGUACAGGUGUAACUAUGUGCUUCGGCAGUAAGGGACAUGGAGGUCAAGACAACAUGCCUGGGAAAGCCUGAUUGUUGUGCAUCUGUACUCAGAAGGUCUGGAUUGGAUGCUGUGUCCUGUUAAAAGGAGGCUACUUUUAAGGGAUCUGAUGAGCAGCUAAUGUUGGCAGUUUUAGAGGGUUUGCUUUGUGCCAGGCCCUGUACUACGCAGAGUUGAUGGAGUGGGGGUGGGAUGAGGGGGAACAGUAGAAACUACUAGGCCCUAGUGGUCUGAAAGGAACCCUGGAGCAUGUUGAUCUUGUGAAUCAAUGCAAAUCCUAAAAAUUGUUUUUAGUUGGAUGAUUUUGAUGAAAGGGUAUUUGUAUUACUUCUCCUUGGUUCCUGAUCUUUGAAUUAGGUAGUAUUAUAUUUUAAAGCAGAGAAAACAAAGUCAUAGAAAAGCUAAGUAAUUUGCCCAGUGUCACACAACUAAUAAUCCAGCAGUGCCACAGUCAGAAUGUGAACCCAGAGAAACUAAGUCCAGAUGCGAAUACAUGAACAAUGAGACCAUGCCAUCUGUUUGGUGCAGACUUGCUUAUGUUUAUGUCACCAGGUCCAAACCAGGCAGAGGAUAAAGGGAAAUCUUCCAUGUAAAAGUAGAAAGUCUGAAUGUUAGAAGUUAAUUCACCUGGCAAAUAAUGUCUGGAUCAAGGAGUCUAGGAACUCUUUGGUAAAUGUUCUGCCAGAGAUUCAAAACAGAAUUCACUUAUGUAAAUGUCUAAAAUUGUUUCUUACAAAGUGAAAAAGACUCCAUUCUAAUCACCUUGGUACAUAAAUAAUCAUUUUAUGCUAUUCUAACUUAUUUGAAGCUUUUUAUCAGUAUUCUGAGAAAACAAACUUAAGUUUGCCAUAAACUUGUUUUUGCCUUUUUUGUAAGUAUUCUUUCCCCCAUCCAUCAACACUGAAAAUGCAUUUCUUUCAUAGUAAUGAAAUUUUAUGUGCCUGUUAAGGGCCAUGUAGAAAUAUUCAAGUCCCAUUAUGAACCCAAAGCCAAUUCAAUGUCAGUUGCAAAGCAGUUGACCCAUUUAGCAUCCGUAGCUACACAUUUCACAUUUUAAACUUCCAGUUUAACUUUUUUAAUCCCUUUGUUUUACUUCUGAGUCUCCCUUUUGUGAUGUAUGUUAAUUACUGUGCCAGGAUCCGGAUCUGCUGGGGUUGGGAUCCCUGGGCACCAGAGCUCACCACCCCAGGUGGGCAGCCAUGGAUGGCCCUGGAAGAUGCCUGGAGGGAAGCUUGGGGCUUCCUGGCAAUGGGAUUUCUCUCCUUCGGGGGCUCUUAGGGUGUUUUUAAUGGAGAUCAUUCAGGCUCAGGUUGGGGAGUUAUUUCAGUAAAAUGCAGAUUAGCCAAGAAUUUCUGAGUUGGGCUAGUUGUAGCUGGUCUCUCAGCCCUGAGUGUUGAGAAUGGGGCUCCAAACCAUUCCUCACUCAUUCCUGACCCUGACCUCAGGUCAAGGGACUGCAAAUCCCUGGCACAGCAGACACUGAAGGGAACCAGAAAGCCUCCCCAGGGCACUGAGCACCUGAGGAAUACUGAACAGGUCUAAAAUCACAUGAGAGCUUGAGUGUCACUUCAAGAAGAGUACAUCAGGUCUGAUAAGUCUAGACUCCUUCCUGGAAAAAGACUUAUUUUUGCAUCUUAUUUUUGCAGCAACUACCUUGCCGGCCCAGGCUCUGGGCUCGGUUCUGUCUUAGCAGCUCAGGCACCCUCUGUCUUCCUGUUCCUUGGAAGGACACUGUGGUCAUUCACAAAGCUCUUCACCCACUGGGUCAGGGGUGUCCCUUUUCACUGUCCACAGCUGUGGGAACAGCUCCUUGUCCGGAGACAUGUUCUUGUGACUCUGCCCCUCUGGCCAGAAGGGCUGUCUGUCCCAGCCAGCUGGCCCUCAGUCUUCUGUCCUUCAGGACGACACCUGGACUCCAUGCCCACUGAAUUCUAUCUUGCUAAAGUUAUGGUAUUUUAGAAACUAGGUCUCAUGUGGAAAUCCAACAGUGCCACUGAAGGAAUAUAGAAAAUAAAUAUCCAAGACCUUAGUAUUGGGAUAGAUGAAUGUUUUUAAGGAAUAACAUGGUAAAGAAAAAGUUAGGGCUGGGGAUUUAGCUUAGUGGUUCCGCCGCCUGCCUCAAAAGUGCGAGGACCUGAGUUCGAUCCCUGGUACCAAAAAAAGUAAAAGGUAGCUUAUUUUUUUUUCCGCAUUGCAAAAACAACUCAUGAUCCUUACGUGGGGAACUGAUAGAGAAACUGGUGCUGUGGCGAGCUCAGCUCGAGGUCAUUCACUCUGUUCAGCUGGACAGUGUCUCUGUUUUCACAGAUUCUGUGUUCUAAUGAGGCAAGUAGGCAUUAAACAACUGAAUUGAUUAGAGAGUUAUAGAUAGCAAUACGUCACUUGAGGAAGUAAUUCUGCAUGAAGGAAUAAAGAGAGCUGGUGUUGGGUCUGUUAAAGAAAGGGCAUUUAAAGCUGCCCAAGAGAGCACCAUAUAUAACAAAAUCUGUGUGAGGAGGUGGGGUGAGUCCUGCAAGAUGUAGAGGAAGAACAUUGUAGAAGAGCAAGGCGAGGAUGCACUCGAUCUGCUUGCACAGCAAGGCCCGUGUGUGCUGGAGAUCAUGGUAUGAGCUGGGGGCAGUGAUCACAGGAACAGCAAGGUCAUAAGAGCCUGUAGGUGACAGAAAUUUGCCUUAUGCCAACAUUCAGGGUGGCGGGAAGCCCUUGGAGAGUCCGAGUGAGGAGUGACAGGAUGCUCACUUGGCUGUGGUAUGGAGGAUGGAUUUUGCAGAGGGCAGAGUGGAACAUUUGGAGGGCAUUUCCGUGCUUCAGGCAGGAGAUGAUGGUGGCUUUGAAAUCUGUAGUGGAGGUGAAAGAGAACAGAAUGGGUGCAGGAUACAUUUCAGAGAGGAAGCGAUAGGAAUUGUGAUCCAUUAGAGGAGGGAGAUGAGGGGAACGUGUGAACAAGUGAAACCAAGGAAGUACAACCAGGGGGGUGAUGGUAAUAUUUACUAAGAUAAAAAACACUUCAUUCAUUCCUCAAAAUGGCCUCUUAGAUGGGAUCUAGUAACCCAUCUGUCCUAUACUAUCCCAUCUAUCUAUUCCAUCCCUCAUCCUUAUAUCCAAUUUCCGUGUAUUCUAUAUUAUUGCCAUAUCUACCACAACAUAGAGAGGACAAUUAAUGUUAAAGCUGUAGAAUAAGCUUUAUUUUUUAUUUUAUUUUUUUAGCCACGGACGCAGCAUUAGAACAGAGUGAGCCGGGAUUUGAAUCUACUCUGCCUGAAUCUAGGAUCCAUAUCUUAACAACUACUCUAAUAUUAUCUUUUGCUUACCAGCCUAAACUUCCAUUGUGAACACUUUUUAUUUCUUUUUGACCGUAAGGUAUAAUUCUGAUUUUAAAAAAUUCUUUUAUUGGUACAUUUUAGGUAUACAGUAGGUUUACAUUUAUCAUUGGGUGCUUGUACCUGUACAUGAUGUAUCUUGGUUCUUAUUUUUCCAUUCCCUGUGCUCCCUUAACCCCCUCCACCCUUCCCUAUUUACAAACACAUUGUUUCCACUUUUUCCUUUUCUCAUAUUUUUUCCUUUCCCUUUCCCCUCCCACUUCUCCUACCCCUCUGAACCUUUUCUUCCUAUUUCACAUUAUCAAUUUUUCAUUUUAAUCCUUAUUUACACUUUCAGUUUUUCACACUAGAGAAACUAUCCGGUAUUUACAUGUUUGUCCUAUAUAUUUCACUUAAGAGUAUGGCCUCAAUAUGCAUCCAUUUAGAUAUAAAUGUCUCCAGUUUCUCGUUCUUCAUGGCUCAGUAGUACUCCAUUUUAUAAAAAAAAAACCCCACAUCUUUUUAUCCAGUUUCCAGUUGAUGGGCACUUGGGCUGUUUCCAAGCUUUUGUUAUUACAAACUGUGCUACUAUAAACAUGGGUGCAUAUAUAUUGCUGUGGUAUGAUUAUUUUAAUUCUUUGGGGAAGAUACCCAGCAGAGGGAUAGCUGGGUCAAAUGAGACCUCUAGUCCUAGUUCUUUGAGGUAUCUCCAUACUGAUUUCCACAGUGGUUGUACCAGUCUGCACUCCCAUCAGCAAUGAAGAAGGGCUCCUUUUUCCCCACAACCCUGCCAGCAUUUAUUAUUAGUUGAUUUCUUGAUAGCAGCCAUUCUUUCUGGGGUGAGGUGGAAUCUCAGUGGUGUUUUCAUCUGCAUCUCUCGAAUGACCAGUGAUGUUGAACAUUUGUUCAUAUAUUUGUUUGCUGCUUUUACUUCUUUGUCUGAGAAAUGUCUGUUCAUUUCAGAUGCCCAUUUUUGAAUUGGGUCUUUGAAUUUGGGAGGUCUGAUUUUUUUCAAUUCUUUAUAUAUUCUAGAUAGUAGUCCUUUGUCUGAGGUAUAGCUGCUAAAAUUUUUUUCCCAUAUUGUAGGUUGUCUGUUAGCUCUGUUGGUGGUUUCUUUUGCAGUGCAGAAGCUUUUUAAUAAGAUAAGAUACCAGUUGUUGAUUCUUUGUGCUAGUUUCCAUGCUACUGAGGUUUUGUUCAU